rnacentral:lncRNA from 1 species
UUUUUUUUUUUUUUUUAAGGUAUCCUGUGGAGUGAACCUGCAACUGGUUUCAUGAAUGGAGUUGCUGGAGUCAAACUGUCAGAUAUGAAUGUUGGUCCUACCACCUACUUUGGGCAAGUAUUUUUUCCCUAUCUGCAAAAUGGAAACUAUCAAGUGGUUAUGAUCAAUAAUUUAAAAUGCAGGGCAUCCCUGGGUGGCUCAGCGGUUUAGCACCUGCCUUUGGCCCAGGGCGUGAUCCUGGAGUCCCGAGAUCAAGUCCCACGUUGGGCUCCUGGCAUGGAGCCUGCUUCUCGCUCCUCCUGUGUCUCUGCCUCUCUCUCUCUCUCUCUAUCAUCUCUCUCUCUCUCUCUCUAUCAUGAAUGAAUGAAUGAAUGAAUGAGUAAAUAAAUAAAUAAAUAAAUAAAUAAAUAAAUCUUUUAAAAAACUUAAAAUGCAAGUGCAUGGUAUAGUGCCCAGUGCAUAAAAUACUUGAUAAAUAGUGUUUGUAGGCCAUUUUGCCAGAGUGAAGGGAGUUUGUAGGCUCAUGUAGGCUCAAUACGGUAGACUAUUAUUAAAUAGGGAUAAAAUUUCUCUUGGACAUCUUAAUAUUAGUGCAUAGAAGUAGCCCGCAGGGAGGCAGUGUGGUACAGGUUCUAUAUGAAGCUGUAUGUCAGCUAGCACCAGAUCAUCUGUGGAACUUGAAGCAAAAAUCAUUCCUUAAGCUCCAUGACCAGAGUUUCUAAUUUGGAGUGGGACCUAGCAUUGGAAAUUAUUUUGAAGUACAGAAUGGGCAGUCUGUGAGUAGAGAAGUGUUGCCUACCUGAUACUGCUCUGACCUCCAGAGUUUGUGAGUGCGAUCUGUGUGUGCAUCUACACAUCUUUGCAGCAUACUGCCAACCCACACUGUUUUCAGAUUUAACACUUGUGUUUCAGCAUGGGUUCUGGAUGAUAUAUGAUAAUCAACCUUUGCAGUUUUCCUGAAGCAGAGUUAAGUUGAAAUGCAAGUAUGGUGAGCCUCAUAUAGGGCUUAGUCACUUACCUAAUUUUCUGACUCUCUAGUAACAUGAAAUUAAGCCUUAGAUGGCUCAGGGUCCCAUCAUAAAACAAAUAUUCAGUCAAAAGAAAUGGAAAAAUGUUGGUGUUGAAAAGGUUAGUAGCAAAAUGGAUAAAGGUAAAGUUACUGAAGGAUUGAUCAGUAAUUGUAGGGAAACCAUUAACACCAUAUUCAGUGAUCCCAUCAGUCAUUCUGUCCAUUUCUAGGUGAUUCUUUUUUUUUUAAUAAAUUAAUUUUUUAUUGGUGUUCAAUUUACCAACAUACAGAGUAACACCCGGUGCUCAUCCCGUCAAGUGCCCCCCUCAGUGCCUGUCACCCAUUCACCCCCACCCCCCGCCCUCUUCCCCUUCCACCACCCCUAGUUCGUUUCCCAGAGUUAGGAGUCUUUAUGUUCUGUCUCCCUUUCUGAUAUUUCCCACACAUUUCUUCUUCUAAUGUCUCUCCAGUUCACUUAACAAUCUCACCUGGAUACUGUGUGUGUGAACAUGAAUAUAGAAAAAUUGGUUUAUAUCUACAAAUAUAUAAAGCAAGGAGAAGGGCCCCUGGCCGGCUCAGUUGGUGGAGCAUGCAGCUCAUGAUCUCAGGGUGUGAGUUUGAGCCCCAUGUGGGGUGUAGAGAUUACUAAGAAAUAAAAUAUUAAAAAAAAAACCCUCUUAAGAAGAGAGUAAUACCAUCUAAAAUAGGCAGUGAAUAACAUAUACUUAGCUGCUACAGUUCUUGUCUCUGUACCAGCUCACAAGCUAUGGGUGAUAAUGUACAACUUAUUUCCUUAUUUCUCAUUCCAUGUUCUUUUGCCCUGUACCUUCAUUCUCGAGGGGUCUGAAUCCUUAAUAGUCCUGAGGUUAUUGCAACUUUUGUCUUUAAUUAGCUUCCCCCCCAUCCCAAGUUCAGGUUUUCUUAUUAAUGAAAAAUUUCAAACCUACAUAGAAGUAGACUAGUGUUAGGAGUGUCUAGGAAGUCCCAUGAUCUGAGUGCCAGCAGAUUCUGUCUAGUAAAGGGCCCUCUUCCUGGUUUGCAGACAGGCAUCUUGCUAUGUCCUUGGGUGGCAGAGAGCUCAUGUCUCUCUUUAUCCACCUUUUGACAUUUAUUUAUAAAGAAUUUAUUUUUAAAUUAAGAUUUUUAUUUUAUUUCCAGUAUAGCUAACAUGCAGUGUUAUAUUAGUUUGAGGUGUACAAUAUAGUGAUUCUGCCAUUCUAUACAUUACUCAGUACUCAUCAGAAUCAGUGUACUCUUAAUCCCCUUUACCUAUGUUCACCCAUUGUCCCCCACCCCCGCCCCAGCUCCCUCUGGUAACCAUCAGUUUGUUUUCUCUAGUUGAGUCUGUUUCUUAGUUUGUCUCUCUAUUUUUCAUUUGCUCAUUUGUUUUGUUUCUUAAAUUCUACGUGUGAGAGAAAUCAUAUGUAUUUGGUUUCACUUAGCAUUAUACUCUAGCUCCAUCCACGUGGUUGCAAAUGGCAAGGUUUCAUUCUUUUUUUAUGGCUGAGUACUAUUCCAUGGUGUGUGUGUGUGUGUGAGAGAGAGACAUCUUUAUCCAUUCAUCUUUUAAUGGACAUGGGCUGCUUUCAUAAUUUGGCUAUCGAAGACAAUGCUGCUGUAAACGGGUGCAUAUAUCCCUUUGAAUUACCGUUUUUGUAUUCUUUGGGUAAAUACCCAGUAGUGUGAUUACUAGAUCAUAGGGAGGUUCUAGUUUUAAUUUUUUGAUGAACCUGCACAUUUUUCCACAGUGGCUGCACCAGUUCCAUCCUCACCAACAGUGCAAAAGAGUUCCCCUUUCUCCACAUCCUCACCAACACCUGUUGUUUCUUGUGUUGUUGAUUCUAGCCAUUCUGACACAUGUGAGGUAAUAUCUCAUUGUGGUUUUGAUUUGCCUUUCCCUGAUAAUGAGUGAUUUUGAGCAUCUUUUCUUGUGUCUUUUGGCCAUCUGGAUGUCUUCUUUAGAGAAAUGUUCAUUCAUGUCUUUGUUGAGUUGUAUCAGUUCUUUAUACAUAUUGGAUACUAAUCCUUUAUCUUUCAAUCUUUUAAAGAUCAUCUUUCCCUUUGUCAGGGCCCUACUCUCAUGACCUAAUUUUUUUUUUAAGAUUUUAUUUAUUUAUUCAUAAGAGAUACAGAGAAAGAGGCAGAGACCGGCAGAGGGAGAAGCAGGCUCCCUGCAGGGAGCCCAAUGUGGGACUUGAUGGGAGAGUUCUGGGAUCAAGCCCUGAGCCAAAGGCAAAUGCUCAACCGCUGAGCCACCCAGGCGUCCCCCCUCAUGACCGAAUCUAACCCUAAUCACCCCCAAAGGCCCCAUUUCCAAGCACCAUCACUAGGCUUCAACAUAAGAAUUUGGGGGGACACAAACAGUUACAGCAACUGGUAUUAACAAACUCCUACCUAACAUAAUCCAGCUUCAACAAUUGACAUUUUACCAAUUUUGUUUUAUUUCACAUUUUUAUUUUUUUUUAAAGGUAGGGAGGGGCAGAGUGAGAGGGAGAGAAAAUCUUAAGCAGGCUCCAUGCCCAGUGUGGACCCCGACAAUGGGAAUCAGUCCCACAACCCUGAGAUCAUAACCUGAGCUGAAAUCAAGAGUUGGACACUUAGCUGACUGAACUAUCCAGGUGCCCCCUUCUUAGACUAUUUUAAGACAAAUUCUAGAUAUGUCACAUAUUUUAAUGUGUGCGGUAACAGAUAAGGAUGCCUUUUUUUUUUUUUAAGUUUUGUUUAAGCUCUCCACCCAACAUGCGGCUCGAACUCACAACCCUGAGAUUGAGAGACACAUGCUCUUCUGACUGAGCCAGCCAGGCACCCUAAUGAGUAUGCCUUUGAAAAAAGAAAAGAACAGGGAUGCCUGGGUGGCUCAGCGGUUUGGCGUCUGCCUUCAGCUCAGGGCAUGAUCCUGGAGUGCCAGGAUCGAGUCCCACAUUGGGCUCCCAGCAUGGGGCCUGCUUCUCCCUCUGCCUGUGUCUCUGCCUCUGUGUGUCUCUUGUGAAUAAAUAAGUGAAAUCUUUUUUUUUUAAUAAGUAAAAUCUUUAAAAAAAAAAAGACUAUAUGCGAGUAUCACAUUAACCAUGUUGAUAAUUAAUAUCUAAACCCAGUCCAUAUAUCAUUUUCUCAUAUUGUCCUAAAGGUGUCUUUUUUAAAAGUUUGAACCAAAAUCAAAAUGAAGUUCAUUUGGUGCAAUCCAGUUCCUCCUCAAAAAUGAAAUUGAAAAAAUGGAAUCAUUUAUCCAUGGAACAUCCUAUAUUGGAUUCGGCAAGGAGCAUCCUUUAUAGUAUCAAUUAACUCCUCUCUCACAUUUUCUGUAUAUUAGGAGUCAGAUCUAGAGGCUUGACUAUAUUCAGAUUCUCCCUUUCCCUUCAAGGAAUACUUCAUUGCUGGCAUGGUGUACAUCCUGUUGCAUCCCAUCAGUCAUGUCAGCAAGUGGUUUUGUCUGGCUGUCCCAUAUUUUCCUUAUGUCAAAAUUCAUCAGUCCGUCCCAUGGCUGUAGAGUUGACUCACCCAUUAUAACCGGUCUGUUGUUGACCAUUCAUGUAGCAGUUUUAACAUUCCUCAAUGGUAUAACCGUCUGUUAUAUAUAACCGGUCUGUUGUUGACCAUUCAUGUAGCAGUUUUAACAUUCCUCAAUGGUCAUUGUCUAGGUCCUAUUAUUGCAUCAUUUGUUAUUGAAAAAUAGUGACCCUUGGGAGGAAAGGGAGACCUUAUUUUGAGUAAUUCAAGACUUAGAACUUGGAAGAAGAGUGGAAAGAACUCCAACGUGAUUUUCACUCCCAACUGCUAACGUCUUACCGUAUCUGCUUUAUCAGUUUUUCAGGAUAAUCAGUUUUUCUUAAUGAUGACUCUCUGUAUUUAUUUAUGAACCAUUUGGAAGCAAGCUGCAGACAUGUCCCUUACCCCUAAACAUUUCAGGGCGUUUCCUUGAAACAAGGACAUUUUCUUACAUAACCACAGUGUAAUUAUUAAAAUUAGGAAAUAAAUUAUAUAAUGCUAUUAAUUAAUAUUUAGGUUUCAUUCAUAUUUCACCAAUUGCUCUGCUAAUAUCUUUUAUAAGGAGAAAACAAAAAGGUGCAGUACGCUAUCCAUGAUCACUUUCUGUAUUUAGUCGGCAUGUUCUUGAGUCUUCUCUAACCUGGAAUGGUUCCUCUGUCUGUCUUUGUCUUAUCUGGACAUUUAAGGAUGUAGGACAAUUGUUUUGUUGAAUGCCCCAAUUUGUGUUUGGUGUUUUCUCAGGAUUUGGUUGAGAUUAUGCAAUUGGGCAGGAAUAAUACAGAAAUGAUGUUACGUCCUCAACGCAUCAUAACAUAUGAUGAUGUUGGUUUGAACCAUUACUGGUGAUGUUAAUUCUAAUCCCUUGAUUAAGGUGGUGUCUGCCUGGUUUCUCCACUGAAAGGAUUUUUUUAUGGGAGAUACUAUGAGACUUUGUAAAUAUUCGAUUCCUCAUCAAACUUUUAAAAAAAGAAUUUAUUUAUUUAUUUAUUUAUUUAUUUAUUUAUUUAUUUAUUUAUUUAUUUAUUUAAGAGAGAGCAUGCUCAUGAGAAAGGAGGAGGAGCAGAGGGAGAGGGAGAAGCAGGCUCUCAGCUGAGCAGGGAGCCCAAUGUUCAAUCCCAGGACUUGAGCUAAAGGCAGACACUUAGCCUACUGAGCUACCCAGGCACCCCUCCUCAUCAAACUUUUAUUCACUAGUUUAAGCAGCCAUUGAUUCUUGCUUGAACAAUGAAUACUUGCCAUACUUUCCUUUUAUACUUAUUAGCACUCUGUUACAAGGAAGAGCUUUUCAUGCACACACGCACGUGUGUGCACACACCCAUGCAUGCCUGUGCAUACACUAUAGGUUAGAAUCUGAUAGUAUUUUUCAUGCAUAGAUUGUUCAUUUGGUGCCCCUCCAACUUGGCUCUCCCUCAUUUUUUGAGCACUUCUUUCUUCAUGAGAUAUUCUAGACUCAUCAUCUACUUUUCCUUUCCCAUAUUUGGAAUUAGCCAUUUUUCUAAAUCUGUUGCUUCUGUAAGGAAGCCUGAAGAUUUAUGAGUGGAAGAGUCUCAAAUUUGUUUGAGUCUACCCAAACAUCCCCAUUCCAAAUCUCAAGGUCUCACUCCUGUCCAAUCAGUGCUAUAGGUUUCACCUGAGAAAAUUGACACAGCUGUGAAUUCAAGACUGUAGUUCUGCAAUUCACACAGAUUUGGGGCCUGAUCUGUAGCCAGUUAUGCCCUGUAUCCACAAGAAAUAAGGUUUUAAAAAAGAUUUUAUUUAUUCAUGAGAGACAGAGAGGCAGAGACAUAGGCAGAGGGAGAAGCAGGCUCCCUGUGAGGAGUCUGUAGGACUCAGUCUCAGGACCUCAGGAUAAUGACCUGAGCCAAAGGGAGAUUCUCAAACACUGAGCCACCCAGGUGCCCUGAAAAAAAGAUAUUUUUUAAAGGCUGUCACAAAAGGGCUCUAGUUCUUUGAUCAUGACUUGGCUUUCAAAUUUAAAGCCUGAACUUGUCAUUUUCUGUGAACACCCACUACAGUAAAACAAGUAGCCAAUUCAUUUCACUGUCCUAUUGAUCAUAUCAUCAUCACCUCUAUAAACAUCAAGUACAGUAUCUACUUGAUCUUUUAAGCCUUGUCUUCAGUAGGCACUUCAUGCAAAACAACCACAUGAGUCUUAACAUAUGGCAUGCCACAUGUUACCAGAUCAGAUUUUCUACUGGCAAUCAGGUCUUCUGUGCAUUCAAACUCAAACAUGGUGGCAAGCCAAACUCAGAAACACAUCUUUGAGGGCCUGUUUCUCAGGAUCAUUCCAGGUGCAAAGCUCUGUAUUAGGGUCUGACUUGGAAACAGGAUUCACUCUAGGUAUUUCAGACAGAAGAGAUUUAAUGCAGGGAUAUAUUUUAAGGAUGUCUAAAGGACUGAAGGAGUAGAAAAGGGAAAAGGGAAGGGAAGUUUACUUAUAAGUUGACAACUGCACCUAGACAACCGACAUCAGCCAGGGCUAAAGAAAGAUUCCUCAGAGGCCACAGCACUUUUAACUAAUGCUCCUGGAAUUGGAUUUCAGCUGCCUAGCAAGGACCCAGAACCUGUACUUCCAACUUUAUGUGGCUGCCCCCAAAGCCACCAUCACCUAACCUGAGUCCCUGAUGUUCUUAGAGCUGUCAGAGAGUGUCACUUCUCCCAUCCCACCUUGUAUCUCACAAGUGCCUCCCAUUAGCAGGUGCUAACAGGAAGUCAGCUAGAAAGGAAGUUUCAAGUGUCCUUGAAAACUGUCAUUUUGAAACUGUAGUUAUCUGACUACAUUAUGCUGCUUCAUUACAUUGCAGGGCACAAAAAGUUGAGGAUGGGAGCCUGGGGAGUAAUAAGGCAACAUACAUGAAUAAGCAAGUGAGAAGAUGCUCAAUGUUAACUCCAUCCCAGAAAUCCCAAUGGAUUGAAUCCAAAUACUGAGUUCCUGUUGCAUGCUGGGCAUGGUGGUGCUAGGUUCUAGAGAUGCAUUGGUGAACAAAAUACAGCCCUUGCCAUCCUGGGAUUUAUAGUCACAUAGUGGGGAUAGGCAAACUAUAAACACUUCAUCUAAUGGCAAUAUUACCUCUAUCUGACAAAAGAUUUUUAUUUUGGAUACACACACAACCCAAACAAAAAUAAAUGUAAAAAGAUAGACUACUCUAAUAAAUGGCAAUGAAAAUUGAACAGACCAUUCACAAAAGAGGAUACUCCUUUGGUCGCUGAAUAUGAAAAGGUGCUCAACUGUGUUAGUCAUGGAAAUGCAACCACAAUGAGGCACCAUUAAAUACCUAUCAAAAUGACUAGAAAAUGAAAGACUGGCAUUGCCAGGUAUGGGUGAGGAUGUGGAGCCACUGCUUACAGUACUCAUAAGAGUAUAAACUGGAACACUUUGGAAUAGUGCUCAGCAACAUCUGCAGAAGCUAAACACUACCUACCCUCCGACCUAGCAACUCUGUCAUUAGGUUUAUAACCAAGAGAAGUUAGCGUGUAUUUUCACCAAAAGACAUGUACAAGCAUAUUUAUAAGAGCUGUAUUCAUAGAAGUUCAGACCUGGAAAUAACCCAAAUAGACACAGGUAAAUGGCAAAAUGGAUAGAAGCAUGGUUAAGUUGUGACAUAUUCAUAUAACCGAAUACUACUACUAUUCAAUAAAAACAAAAAAGCUGCUACAUGCAGCAAUGUAGAUGAAUCUCACAGAAUCUCGGACAACAACAAAAAAGCCAGUGAAACAAGUUCAUGUCCUAUGAUUCCAUUUAUUUGAAGUUCAGGAAUAGACAAAACUCAACUAUAGUGACAGAAGACAGAAUUGUGCUUUGGAGGUACUGAUGGGUGGACACAGGAAGGAUGCUACUGAUGUGCUGGAAAUGUUCGAUAUUGAUUAGGCUGUUUGCCCUGGUGUAUACAUUCAUAAAAGUUCCUCAAACUGUAAACAUAAGAACAUAAGAUUUGUGCAUUUCACAGUAUAUAUGUUAUUCCUCAGAAAAUUCACCAAAAAAAAAAAAAAAAAAAAAAA